AUUGAACGCUGGCGGCAGGCCUAACACAUGCAAGUCGAGCGCGCGGCGGACGGGUGAGUAAUGUAUGGGGAUCUGCCCGAUAGAGGGGGAUAACUACUGGAAACGGUGGCUAAUCCCGCAUACCAACGGAUGGACCCAUAUGGGAUUAGCUAGUAGGUGGGGUAAAGUCUCACCUAGUCGACGAUCUCUAGCUGGUCUGAGUGGAUGAUCAGCCACACGGGGACUGAGCCACGGCCCAGACGCCUACGGGAGGCAGCAGUGGGGAAGAGUGCACAAUGGGCGCAAUCCUGAGGCAGCCAUGCCGCGUGUAUGAAGAAGGCCUUAGGGUUGGAAAGUACUUUCAGCGGGGAGGCGUUACCCGCAGAAGAAGCACCGGCUAACUCCGUGCCAGCAGCCGCGGUAAUAC
rnacentral:rRNA from 1 species